rnacentral:rRNA from 1 species
UACAGAGGUCUCAAGCGUUGUUCGGAUUCAUUGGGCGUAAAGGGUGCGUAGGUGGCGCUGUAAGUCAGGUGUGAAAUUUCGGAGCUUAACUCCGAAACUGCAUUUGAUACUGCGGUGCUUGAGGACUGGAGAGGAGACUGGAAUUUACGGUGUAGCAGUGAAAUGCGUAGAUAUCGUAAGGAAGACCAGUGGCGAAGGCGGGUCUCUGGACAGUUCCUGACACUGAGGCACGAAGGCCAGGGGAGCAAACGGG